GCCUCGGUGGUGUAGUGGUAGACCACGCGUCCCCCGGAUAAGAUAAAACGCGGGGUUCGAUUCCCGCUUGAGGCC